AAUCCUACUGGCUUAAUUGUAAGCCAAACUUUUUGGACAGGUGAUCACCUAACCAGCUUUUAACCCUCCGUUCCCUGGCUACUCCUCUGUGGUUUUCUACGUGAGCCUUCACCCUCGCAGUUCCACUCUGCUAGACCUUCGCUGGACCUUUCUGGGCUCUCGUACCUCACUUCUCUCUCUCAUCACAGCCAGAGAGUCCCAGUGGGGAGCUGUAAGAGUAGUCCUCCUCGGCAUACCUGGUUCCUGCAUCCGGGGGCUCUUCUAGUGAAGGCGCAUAAAGGGCGGAUGGAUGUUUUUUAUCCAGCACUCCUACCCCAAACGAAAGCGGCGGAAGACCCGGAGGGGGAAAAGGCAAAGAAAGGGUUGUGCGGCCAAAAAUGCGGAGCUCACAGCGGACAUUCAACCGGAGUUGCCACCCUCCGGGAGUAUUUAAAGGCCUUCCAUACAGCCAGUUGAGUAGAGUGAGACGGAUUCCAUCUAGUGAGGAGCUAUAUGAGGCGGAGGCACAGGGUAUGGUUAAAACAUUUGUGCAGAGAGGCUAUAAUGAGAAACAACUUAAUGAAAUGAAGCAGGAUUUAAAAGGAGUAAAAUGUGAGUAGUUACUAACCAAGAAAAUACAACCGAAGACAAAUAAAUCUGAGGGAGUGGCCUUUGUGUCAGCUUCUGGUAGCCACACCCACAAUAUAAAUAAAAUAAUUUUAAAACACUGGAACAUGUUACAAGAUGAUCGUGAAGUAGGUAAAUUGUUUAAAGAGACCCCACUAUUUUCAUAUAGGAGGGGGAAUCAAUAGGACAGGUUUUGUCCAAAAAGGUUUUGCAAAAAGAAAAGAAAAGUGGGUUAUUAGCCCCCCUCAAACUGGGUCCAUUAACGUGUGGCGACUGUGCGCACUGUACGGGGAUUAUCCGAGGGGAUACGGUCGCUCAUCCCACUAAAGGCACCAAUUCCAAUUCAAGGACAUUUUACGUGUAACAGUUCUGGGGUAAUUUAUAUGAUAAAAUGCCCAUGCCCUUAUGUGGGGCAGACAGAGCAAUAAGAACCUGUUUAAAUGAACAUAAAAGCAAUAUAAGGAUCUACACUCCUGAUAGAGAAAAAGAAAAAUCUGAACAAGAAAGUGGAAAGAAAUAUCUGAACUAUCUGUGGCUAAACAUAUUUAUGUAGCUAAGCAUUCAGUGGCACAGGCCAGAUGGGCAGUAUUAGAACAAGUCCAUUUACUCAGAGGUGGAAAUCUGACUAAACAAUUGCUAAAGAGAGAGGCAGUGUGGAUUCAACAACUGGAUUCUCUUUCCCCUCAAGGGUUAAACGAAAGCUUCAGCUUGAAAUGUUUUUUAUAGACUUUGUAACUGUUUUUUGUAGGAUAUUUUGUAUAAUUGGUUUUUAAAUGUGACACUUUGUAUUUAUGGCUAUAUGUUUUACAGAUUAUGAAGUGUAAAGGAUUCUUAUGAAGGGGAUUGUCGAUUCACAUAAUUGAAUGGCUGCUUGGGACUGUUUGAUACUGCAGCCGUGAUGGGGUUAAUGGGUCACAUGCUAGUGUCACAUGGUCUGU